AUUGAACGCUGGCGGCAGGCCUAACACAUGCAAGUCGAACGAGUGGCGGACGGGUGAGUAAUGUCUGGGAAACUGCCUGAUGGAGGGGGAUAACUACUGGAAACGGUAGCUAAUACCGCAUACCAUGGGAUGGGCCCAGAUGGGAUUAGCUAGUGGUGGGGGUAACGGCUCACCUAGGCGACAGUACCUAGCGGGUCUGGGAGGAUGACCAGCCCCACUGGAACUGAGACACGGUCCAGACUCCUACGGGAGGCAGCAGUGGGGAAUAUUGCACAAUGGGCGCAAGUCUGAUGCAGCCAUGCCGCGUGAAUGAAGAAGGCCUUCGGGUUGUAAAGUACUUUCAGCGGGGAGGCGUUACCCGCAGAAGAAGCAACGGCUAACUCCGUGCCAGCAGCCGCGGUAAUAC
rnacentral:rRNA from 1 species